rnacentral:rRNA from 1 species
UACGAAGGGGGCUAGCGUUGCUCGGAAUUACUGGGCGUAAAGGGCGCGUAGGCGGAUGUUUAAGUCAGUGGUGAAAGCCCAGGGCUCAACCUUGGAACUGCCAUUGAUACUGGACAUCUUGAGUGCGGGAGAGGUGAGUGGAACACCGAGUGUAGAGGUGAAAUUCGUAGAUAUUCGCAAGAACACCAGUGGCGAAGGCGGCUCACUGGCCCGAUACUGACGCUGAGGUGCGAAAGCGUGGGGAGCAAACAGG